AGCUGCACUGCCGAGCUUUACACAGAGCAAGCAGGAUGUUUUCUUACAUCUUCACACAGCACAAAGCUGGUGGAGUUGAAGCUCUAGCCUCAGACCAUCUGUGAGGGGCUGGAGUCUGAGCACUGGUGGGUGCUCAGCAAUGAAUUUUAUCAUUUGUUCCCAGAGUGCAAUGGAACAUCAAUGAGUGAGGCGGCCAUCUACCUCCACACUGACUCAGUGGAGUCGUCACUGCAG